rnacentral:rRNA from 1 species
AGUCUGAUGGAGCACGCCGCGUGAGUGAAGAAGGUUUUCGGAUCGUAAAGCUCUGUUGUUGGUGAAGAAGGAUAGAGGCAGUAACUGGUCUUUAUUUGACGGUAAUCAACCAGAAAGUCACGGCUAACUACGUGCCAGCAGCCGCGGUAAUACGUAGGUGGCAAGCGUUGUCCGGAUUUAUUGGGCGUAAAGCGAGCGCAGGCGGAAUGAUAAGUCUGAUGUGAAAGCCCACGGCUCAACCGUGGAACUGCAUCGGAAACUGUCAUUCUUGAGUGCAGAAGAGGAGAGUGGAACUCCAUGUGUAGCGGUGGAAUGCGUAGAUAUAUGGAAGAACACCAGUGGCGAAGGCGGCUCUCUGGUCUGCAACUGACGCUGAGGCUCGAAAGCAUGGGUAGCGAACAGGAUUAGAUACCCUGGUAGUCCAUGCCGUAAACGAUGAGCGCUAGGUGUUGGGGACUUUCCGGUCCUCAGUGCCGCAGCAAACGCAUUAAGCGCUCCGCCUGGGGAGUACGACCGCAAGGUUGAAACUCAAGAAAUUUGACGGGG